GAGUAGGGCGGGACACGUGGUAUCCUGUCUGAAUAUGGGGGGACCAUCCUCCAAGGCUAAAUACUCCUGACUGACCGAUAGUGAACCAGUACCGUGAGGGAAAGGCGAAAAGAACCCCGGCGAGGGGAGUGAAAAAGAACCUGAAACCGUGUACGUACAAGCAGUGGGAGCACCCUUUGGGGUGUGACUGCGUACCUUUUGUAUAAUGGGUCAGCGACUUAUAUUCUGUAGCAAGGUUAACCGAAUAGGGGAGCCGGAGGGAAACCGAGUCUUAACCGGGCGUUAAGUUGCAGGGUAUAGACCCGAAACCCGGUGAUCUAGCCAUGGGCAGGUUGAAGGUUGGGUAACACUAACUGGAGGACCGAACCGACUAAUGUUGAAAAAUUAGCGGAUGACCUGUGGCUGGGGGUGAAAGGCCAAUCAAACCGGGAGAUAGCUGGUUCUCCCCGAAAGCUAUUUAGGUAGCGCCUCGUGAACUCAUCUCCGGGGGUAGAGCACUGUUUCGGCUAGGGGGCCAUCCCGGCUUACCAACCCGAUGCAAACUGCGAAUACCGGAGAAUGUUAUCACGGGAGACACACGGCGGGUGCUAACGUCCGUCGUGAAGAGGGAAACAACCCAGACCGCCAGCUAAGGUCCCAAAGUCAUGGUUAAGUGGGAAACGAUGUGGGAAGGCCCAGACAGCCAGGAUGUUGGCUUAGAAGCAGCCAUCAUUUAAAGAAAGCGUAAUAGCUCACUGGUCGAGUCGGCCUGCGCGGAAGAUGUAACGGGGCUAAACCAUGCACCGAAGCUGCGGCAGCGACACUCAGGUGUUGUUGGGUAGGGGAGCGUUCUGUAAGCCUGCGAAGGUGGCCUGUGAGGGUUGCUGGAGGUAUCAGAAGUGCGAAUGCUGACAUAAGUAACGAUAAAGCGGGUGAAAAGCCCGCUCGCCGGAAGACCAAGGGUUCCUGUCCAACGUUAAUCGGGGCAGGGUGAGUCGACCCCUAAGGCGAGGCCGAAAGGCGUAGUCGAUGGGAAACGGGUUAAUAUUCCCGUACUUGGUGUUACUGCGAAGGGGGGACGGAGAAGGCUAUGUUGGCCGGGCGACGGUUGUCCCGGUUUAAGCGUGUAGGUGUGUGUUCCAGGUAAAUCCGGUUCACUUUAACACUGAGGCGUGAUGACGAGGCACUACGGUGCUGAAGCAACAAAUGCCCUGCUUCCAGGAAAAGCCUCUAAGCAUCAGGUAACAUCAAAUCGUACCCCAAACCGACACAGGUGGUCAGGUAGAGAAUACCAAGGCGCUUGAGAGAACUCGGGUGAAGGAACUAGGCAAAAUGGUGCCGUAACUUCGGGAGAAGGCACGCUGACACGUAGGUGAAGUGAUUUACUCAUGGAGCUGAAGUCAGUCGAAGAUACCAGCUGGCUGCAACUGUUUAUUAAAAACACAGCACUGUGCAAACACGAAAGUGGACGUAUACGGUGUGACGCCUGCCCGGUGCCGGAAGGUUAAUUGAUGGGGUCAGCGCAAGCGAAGCUCCUGAUCGAAGCCCCGGUAAACGGCGGCCGUAACUAUAACGGUCCUAAGGUAGCGAAAUUCCUUGUCGGGUAAGUUCCGACCUGCACGAAUGGCGUAAUGAUGGCCAGGCUGUCUCCACCCGAGACUCAGUGAAAUUGAACUCGCUGUGAAGAUGCAGUGUACCCGCGGCAAGACGGAAAGACCCCGUGAACCUUUACUAUAGCUUGACACUGAACAUUGAGCCUUGAUGUGUAGGAUAGGUGGGAGGCUUUGAAGUGUGGACGCCAGUCUGCAUGGAGCCGGCCUUGAAAUACCACCCUUUAAUGUUUGAUGUUCUAACGUGGACCCGUGAUCCGGGUUGCGGACAGUGUCUGGUGGGUAGUUUGACUGGGGCGGUCUCCUCCUAAAGAGUAACGGAGGAGCACGAAGGUUGGCUAAUCCUGGUCGGACAUCAGGAGGUUAGUGCAAUGGCAUAAGCCAGCUUGACUGCGAGCGUGACGGCGCGAGCAGGUGCGAAAGCAGGUCAUAGUGAUCCGGUGGUUCUGAAUGGAAGGGCCAUCGCUCAACGGAUAAAAGGUACUCCGGGGAUAACAGGCUGAUACCGCCCAAGAGUUCAUAUCGACGGCGGUGUUUGGCACCUCGAUGUCGGCUCAUCACAUCCUGGGGCUGAAGUAGGUCCCAAGGGUAUGGCUGUUCGCCAUUUAAAGUGGUACGCGAGCUGGGUUUAGAACGUCGUGAGACAGUUCGGUCCCUAUCUGCCGUGGGCGCUGGAGAACUGAGGGGGGCUGCUCCUAGUACGAGAGGACCGGAGUGGACGCAUCACUGGUGUUCGGGUUGUCAUGCCAAUGGCACUGCCCGGUAGCUAAAUGCGGAAGAGAUAAGUGCUGAAAGCAUCUAAGCACGAAACUUGCCCCGAGAUGAGUUCUCCCUGAGACUUUAGGUCUCCUGAAGGAACGUUGAAGACGACGACGUUGAUAGGCCGGGUGUGUAAGCGCAGCGAUGCGUUGAGCUAACCGGUACUAAUGAACCGUGAGGCUUAACCUUACA
rnacentral:rRNA from 1 species